rnacentral:rRNA from 1 species
AGAGUUUGAUCAUGGCUCAGAACGAACGCUGGCGGCAGGCUAACACAUGCAAGUCGAGCGCUCUCUUCGGAGGGAGCGGCGGACGGGUUAGUAACGCGUGGGAAUAUACCCUUCACUACGGAAUAGCCUCGGGAAACUGAGAGUAAUACCGUAUACGCCCUUCGGGGGAAAGAUUUAUCGGUGAAGGAUUAGCCCGCGUUAGAUUAGAUAGUUGGUGGGGUAAUGGCCUACCAAGUCUACGAUCUAUAGCUGGUUUUAGAGGAUGAUCAGCAACACUGGGACUGAGACACGGCCCAGACUCCUACGGGAGGCAGCAGUGGGGAAUCUUGGACAAUGGGCGCAAGCCUGAUCCAGCCAUGCCGCGUGUGUGAUGAAGGCCUUAGGGUCGUAAAGCACUUUCGCCAGGGAUGAUAAUGACAGUACCU